rnacentral:lncRNA from 1 species
GCUUAACUUUAUUUAAUGGGAUGGUAGUCUGUAAAUGACAAGACUCCGUAGAUUUUUACAAAGUUUAAAAUGGUAAUUUACAUGGAAAAGGGCUACAUUGAAUACAAAUGAUCCUUAAUCCUUCUACCAAUUCUUGAUAUCCACUGUGCUCUUGACCGCUGUUGGGAUGAUGAAUCGACGUCAACCCCUGUGCUCAACAAAGUCUUUCCAACAUUGGAC